GCCCUUCCUACGGGAGGCAGCAGUAGGGAAUCUUCCGCAAUGGACGCAAGUCUGACGGAGCAACGCCGCGUGAGUGAUGAAGGUUUUCGGAUCGUAAAGCUCUGUUGCCAGGGACGAAAAGCGGUGGGAGUAACUGCCCGCCGUGUGACGGUACCUGAGAAGAAAGCCCCAGCUAACUACGUGCCAGCAGCCGCGGUAAU
rnacentral:rRNA from 1 species